CUACGGGUUGCUCCAGUGAGGAAUAUUGCACAAUGGGGGGAACCCUGAUGCAGCAACGCCGCGUGGAGGAUGACGCAUUUCGGUGUGUAAACUCCUUUUAUAUGUCAAGAAAAUGACGGUAGCAUAUGAAUAAGCACCGGCUAACUCCGUGCCAGCAGCCGCGGUAAUACGGAGGGUGCAAGCGUUACUCGGAAUCACUGGGCGUAAAGGACGCGUAGGCGGGUUGGAAAGUCAGGUGUGAAAUCCUACAGCUUAACUGUAGAACUGCACUUGAAACUUCUAAUCUAGAGUAUGGGAGGGGGAGAUGGAAUUAGUGGUGUAGGGGUAAAGUCCGUAGAUAUCACUAGGAAUACCUAAAGCGAAGGCGAUCUCCUGGAACAUUACUGACGCUAAGGCGUGAAAGCGUGGGGAGCAAACAGGAUUAGAUACCCCCGUAGUC
rnacentral:rRNA from 1 species